UACCAGCUCUCCGAGUGGUAGGGAUGAUUAUUGGGCUUAAAGCGUCCGUAGCCGGCUUAGCAAGUCUCCUGCUAAAUUCAGCGACCUAAUCGUUGAGCCGCGGGAGAUACUACUAGGCUAGGAGGCGGGAGAGGUCGGCGGUACUUCCGGGGUAGGGGUGAAAUCCUAUAAUCCCGGGAGGACCACCAGUGGCGAAGGCUGUCGACUAGAACGCGCUCGACGGUGAGGGACGAAAGCUGGGGAGCGAACCGGAUUAGAUACCCGGGUAGUCCCAGCUGUAAACGAUGCGGGCUAGGUGUUGGGGUGGCUACGGGCCACUUCAGUGCCGCAGGGAAACCAUUAAGCCCGCCGCCUGGGGAGUACGGCCGCAAGGCUGAACUUAAGGAAUUGGCGGGGAGCACCACAAGGCGUGAAGCUUGCGGUUC
rnacentral:rRNA from 1 species